GCCAUGCGAGUCUAAAGGCUUCUUCGGAAGCCUUGGCGGACUGCUCAGUAACACGUGGAUAACCUGCCCUUGGGACUGGCAUAACCCCGGGAAACUGGGGAUAAUACCAGAUAGAUCAGGGAUGCUGGAAUGCACCUUGAUUCAAAGCUCCGGCGCCCAAGGAUGGAUCUGCGACCUAUCAGGUUGUAGUGGGCGUAACGUACCUACUAGCCGACGACGGGUACGGGUUGUGAGAGCAAGAGCCCGGAGAUGGAUUCUGAGACACGAAUCCAGGCCCUACGGGGUGCAGCAGGCGCGAAACCUUUACAAUGUGCGAAAGCAUGAUAAGGGAACUCCGAGUGCCAGUAUCUAAUGCUGGCUGUCCUUGUGCCUAAAACGCACAAGAUAGCAAGGGCCGGGUAAGACCGGUGCCAGCCGCCGCGGUAACACCGGCGGCCCGAGUGGUAGCCACUAUUAUUGGGUCUAAAGGGUCCGUAGCCGGUUCGGUAAGUCCUCUGGGAAAUCUGGUUGCUCAACAAUCAGACUGCCAAGGGAUACUGUCGAACUUGAGACCGGGAGAGGUAAGAGGUACUUCAGGGGUAGGAGUGAAAUCUUGUAAUCCCUGGGGGACCAUCUGUGGCGAAGGCGUCUUACCAGAACGGGUCUGACGGUGAGGGACGAAAGCUGGGGGCGCGAACCGGAUUAGAUACCCGGGUAGUCCCAGCCGUAAACGAUGCUCGCUAUGUGUCAGGUACGGUGCGACCGUAUCUGGUGCCGUAGGGAAGCUGUGAAGCGAGCCACCUGGGAAGUACGGCCGCAAGGCUGAAACUUAAAGGAAUUGGCGGGGGAGCACUACAACGGGUGGAGCCUGC
rnacentral:rRNA from 1 species